GACGAACGCUGGCGGCGUGCUUAACACAUGCAAGUUGAACGGGGCAUAUAUUUGACAGACUUUUCGGAGUUUAGAAGAUAUAUGUUUAGUAGCGGACGGGUGAGUAAUGCAUGAGAACCUGCCCUUCAGAGGAGGACAACAGCUGGAAACGGUUGCUAAUACCCCAUAAGCCGAGAGGUAAAAGGAGUAAUCCGCUGAGGGAGGGGCUCAUGUCCUAUCAGCUAGUUGGUAAGGUAACGGCUUACCAAGGCGAAGACGGGUAGCCGGCCUGAGAGGGCGAUCGGCCACACUGGAACUGAGAUACGGUCCAGACUCCUACGGGAGGCAGCAGUGGGGAAUAUUGGGCAAUGGGCGCAAGCCUGACCCAGCGACGCCGCGUGAGGGAAGAAGGCCCUUGGGUCGUAAACCUCUGUUGUAUGGGAAGAAGGACGUGACGGUACCAUACGAGGAAGUCCCGGCUAACUACGUGCCAGCAGCCGCGGUAAAGUCUGUACU
rnacentral:rRNA from 1 species